UUUAAAGAGAGUUUGAUCCUGGCUCAGGACGAACGCUGGCGGCGUGCCUAAUACAUGCAAGUCGAACGAACGGAGGAAGAGCUUGCUCUUCCAAAGUUAGUGGCGGACGGGUGAGUAACACGUGGGCAACCUGCCUGUAAGUUGGGGAUAACUCCGGGAAACCGGGGCUAAUACCGAAUAAUAAGUGGUGGCGCAUGCCACGGCUUUGAAAGAUGGUUUCGGCUAUCGCUUACAGAUGGGCCCGCGGUGCAUUAGCUAGUUGGUAGGGUAAUGGCCUACCAAGGCAACGAUGCAUAGCCGACCUGAGAGGGUGAUCGGCCACACUGGGACUGAGACACGGCCCAGACUCCUACGGGAGGCAGCAGUAGGGAAUCUUCCGCAAUGGACGAAAGUCUGACGGAGCAACGCCGCGUGUAUGAAGAAGGUUUUCGGAUCGUAAAGUACUGUUGUUAGAGAAGAACAAGGAUAAGAGUAACUGCUUGUCCCUUGACGGUAUCUAACCAGAAAGCCACGGCUAACUACGUGCCAGCAGCCGCGGUAAUACGUAGGUGGCAAGCGUUGUCCGGAUUUAUUGGGCGUAAAGCGCGCGCAGGCGGUCUUUUAAGUCUGAUGUGAAAGCCCCCGGCUUAACCGGGGAGGGUCAUUGGAAACUGGAAG
rnacentral:rRNA from 1 species